rnacentral:ncRNA from 1 species
GAAAGAUCGGAUUAAGUACUGUCCGAUUGGGCAUGUUAUACGCCCCAAUCAAA